UUUUGACAGGAGUGCCCAACACAUUGAAUGUGAUCACCAAUUUCCCAUUCUUGGUUGUUGGGGUUCUGGGUUUUGUUCUCUGUGUCCAAGGAGGCUUUUUCAAUAUCAGUUUGCCAGGUGAAGUUUGGGGUUGGGCACUGUUCUAUGCAGGAAUAGCAGGGCUGACUUUUGGCUCUGCUUAUUAUCAUUUGAAGCCUGAUGAUAGUAGAGUGACUUGGGAUACCUUGCCGGCUAGCAUUUCAAUCCAUCGUUCUUCGGAGGUGUGGGAGAGAGCAGAAGAAUUUUCACCAGAGAGAUUUGAUAUGGAAGGUCCUAUACCCAAUGAAACGAAUACAGAUUUCAGGUUCAUUCCAUUCAGUGGAGGGCCACGAAAGUGUGUUGGUGAUUAGUUUGCUUUGCUGGAAGCUAUUGUUGCUCUGGCAUGAAAUCUUGGAAUCUUUUGGAGGUAGCAUGAAAUCUUUUGCUAACUGUGGUUCUUACUAGUUGGUUGCAGAGCAUGCAAUGAUAUUAGAUUGUACAUGAUGUUCCAAUUGAUUCCAUG